rnacentral:rRNA from 1 species
GGGGAAUAUUGGACAAUGGGGGCAACCCUGAUCCAGCCAUGCCGCGUGAGUGAUGAAGGCCUUCGGGUUGUAAAGCUCUUUUAGCAGGGACGAUGAUGACGGUACCUGCAGAAUAAGCCCCGGCUAACUUCGUGCCAGCAGCCGCGGUAAUACGAAGGGGGCAAGCGUUGUUCGGAAUUACUGGGCGUAAAGGGUGCGUAGGCGGUUUUGCAAGUCAGAUGUGAAAGCCCUGGGCUUAACCCGGGAAUUGCAUUUGAGACUGUGAGGCUAGAAUUCGGAAGAGGUUGGUGGAAUUCCCAGUGUAGAGGUGAAAUUCGUAGAGAUUGGGAAGAACACCGGAGGCGAAGGCGGCCAACUGGUCCGGGAUUGACGCUGAGGCACGAAAGCGUGGGGAGCAAACA